GGAAACAUUCAUUUUAUGUAAUGUCCUCAUUGGAUGGUUAACCUAACUACUUCAAUACACCAAUUAAUUCAAAAUAACUUCACUUAUCAAUAUCUACUAGUCCUCUUUCAUACACAUUUAGUUCAAGAUCAAUAAAUUCAUCACAAUAAUGAAUUUUGAGUUUCAGAAAUUCGUCCGUUAUCCUUAUUCAAAUAGAUUUCGUCAAAGCCCUAAAACA
rnacentral:lncRNA from 1 species